rnacentral:rRNA from 1 species
CGGGACGGGUGAGUAACGCGUGGAGAACCUGCCGUAUACUGGGGGAGUAACACUUAGAAAUAGGUGCUAAUACCGCAUAAGCGCACAGCUUCGCAUGAAGCAGUGUGAAAAACUCCGGUGGUAUACGAUGGAUCCGCGUCUGAUUAGCUGGUUGGCGGGGUAAAGGCCCACCAAGGCGACGAUCAGUAGCCGGCCUGAGAGGGUGAACGGCCACAUUGGGACUGAGACACGGCCCAAACUCCUACGGAAGGCAGCAG